rnacentral:rRNA from 1 species
CUUGGUCAUUUAGAGGAAGUAAAAGUCGUAACAAGGUUUCCGUAGGUGAACCUGCGGAAGGAUCAUUACCGAAUCAUAAGUCGGUCGGCCGUGCUGGCGGAAACGCAAGUGCACGUCGGUCGCAAAUCAAUCCACACACCUGUGAACGUAUGGCCUUGGGUCUUUUGACCUGGGGCAAACUUUUUUACCCACUCUGAUUGUAAAGGAAUGUCUAUGUGCCUAAAGCACAAAAUGCAAACAACUUUCAACAACGGAUCUCUUGGCUCUCGCAUCGAUGAAGAACGCAGCGAAAUGCGAUAAGUAAUGUGAAUUGCAGAAUUCAGUGAAUCAUCGAAUCUUCGAACGCACCUUGCACCCUUUGGUAUUCCGAAGGGUACACCCGUUUGAGUGUCAUUGUAAUCUCACCUCUAGAACUUGUUCUGGGAGUGGACUUGGAUGUUGCCGUGACUCACGGCUCAUCUUGAAUGUCUCAGUGUGACCCGUCUUUGGCGUGAACAGUGUGAUAAGUAUCUUCACUGGUAAGCCUCUCCGGAGGCGCGCUCUCGGAUGUGGGCCCAUGCUGCCAACUGUCUUCGGACAAAUCUCUGACAAUUUGACCUCAAAUCGGGUGGGAUUACCCGCUGAACUUAAGCAUAUCAAUAAGCGGAGGAAAAGAAACUAACAAGGAUUCCCCUAGUAACGGCGAGUGAAGAGGGAAAAGCUCAAAUUUUGAAUCUGGUGUCUUUGGCGCCCGAGUUGUAAUCUAGAGAAGUGUUUUCCGUACCGGACCGUGCACAAGUUCCCUGGAACGGGGCGUCAUAGAGGGUGAGAAUCCCGUAUAUGGCACGGACUCCCGGUGCUCUGCGAUACACUCUCAACGAGUCGAGUUGUUUGGGAAUGCAGCUCAAAAUGGGUGGUAAAUUCCAUCUAAAGCUAAAUAUUGGCGAGAGACCGAUAGCGAACAAGUACCGUGAGGGAAAGAUGAAAAGCACUUUGGAAAGAGAGUUAAACAGUACGUGAAAUUGUUAAAAGGGAAACGAUUGAAGUCAGUCGCGUCUACUUGGACUCAGCCUUGCCUCGGCUUGGUGCAAUUCCUUGUGGACGGGCCAGCGUUCAUGUUGGUUAUUGGAAAAGGUACUAGGGAAUGUGGCUCUUUUGGGAGUGUUAUAGCCCUGGUUCGUAUACAGUGACUGAUAUGGAGUGAUACAGCAUGCUUCGGCGGUGCUUGUGCUGGCAUAAUGGCUUUAAGCGACCCGUCUUGAAACACGGACC